AUGGACAUGUAUUUCAGAUUUCCCAGGAUCUCUUGCUACCGCGCGCCUGAGCUCACCGACAAUAAGUGGGCCUCUCAGAAAGCCGAUGUGUACAGCUUCGAUGUCCUACUACUGGAGCUUCUCACUCGCAAGCCUCCGACAAUUAUCAGAAUGGUGGAGCGAAUUAAUUUGCUAGUAUGGGUAUGUUCUGUUAUACAUGAGAAGUGGACGGUGGAGGUCUUCGACAUGGAGCUCCUAGAACACGAGCAGGACGGGAAAGAGGAGAGCAUGGCAUGGCUUCUGCAGCUCGCCCUAGACCGUUGCGGUCAAGAUGCCGACUCGAGGCCUGCAAUGUCCGAUGUCGUGCAGCUGAUCGAGGCAAUCCACAAAGUCCUAACUCCUGACCAAUAA
rnacentral:rRNA from 1 species